rnacentral:tRNA from 1 species
UGCAUCGGCCGGGGAAUCGAACCAAGGGCGCCCGCAUGGCAGGCGAGCAUUCUACCACUGAACUAAAAAAAAACGGUGA